CAUGUGGCUCAUUACAGCUGAGCUGAGAGGGAAAUAGUCUAUUGUGGAGUUAUUUUCAAGGAAGAAACAGCCCUGGGAAGAGCUGAAAAUAGCCCUUCCCCAGGAAAACACUCCCCAGCACGGGGCAAACACCUGGAGCUGCAUUUCUGCUCUGCCUGUGGGGCCAGAGGCAGCAGCUGGCCCCAGGCUGGCCCAGGAGCUGCAGCUCUGGCCCCUCCCCACCUGUCUUUGGGGAGGGGGAACAAGGCUCAUCUCAAUAAAGCAAAUGUUAGUGGGUAAAAAGUG